UACGUAGGGUGCAGGCGUUAAUCGGAAUUACUGGGCGUAAAGCGUGCGCAGGCGGUUUCUUAAGUCAGAUGUGAAAGCCCCGGGCUUAACCUGGGAACUGCGUUUGAAACUGGGGAGCUGGAGUGUAGAAGAGGGGGGUGGAAUUCCAGGUGUAGCAGUGAAAUGCGUAGAUAUCUGGAGGAACACCGAUGGCGAAGGCAGCCCCCUGGGCUAACACUGACGCUCAUGCACGAAAGCGUGGGGAGCAAACAGG
rnacentral:rRNA from 1 species